rnacentral:rRNA from 1 species
GACGAACGCUGGCGGCGUGCCUAAUACAUGCAAGUCGAGCGCAGGAAGCCGUCUGAACCCUUCGGGGGGACGACGGUGGAAUGAGCGGCGGACGGGUGAGUAACACGUAAAGAACCUGCCCAUAGGUCUGGGAUAACCACGAGAAAUCGGGGCUAAUACCGGAUGUGUCAGCGGACCGCAUGGUCCGCUGAUGAAAGGCGCUCCGGCGUCGCCCAUGGAUGGCUUUGCGGUGCAUUAGCUAGUUGGUGGGGUAACGGCCCACCAAGGCGACGAUGCAUAGCCGACCUGAGAGGGUGAUCGGCCACACUGGGACUGAGACACGGCCCAGACUCCUACGGGAGGCAGCAGUAGGGAAUCUUCCACAAUGGACGAGAGUCUGAUGGAGCAACGCCGCGUGAACGAUGAAGGCUUUCGGGUCGUAAAGUUCUGUUGUAAGGGAAGAACAAGUGCCGCAGGCAAUGGCGGCACCUUGACGGUACCUUGCGAGAAAGCCACGGCUAACUACGUGCCAGCAGCCGCGGUAA